rnacentral:rRNA from 1 species
AACGAACGCUGGCGGCGUGCUUAAUACAUGCAAGUCGAACGAGAAAUUCCGGCUUCGGUUGGAAAAGUAAAGUGGCGAACGGGUGAGUAACACGUGGAUAAUCUACCCUUAAAUCUGGGAUAAUCCUUCGAAAGGAGGUCUAAUACCGGAUGAUACCAUUUAGCGGCAUCGCUUUAUGGUCAAAGACGGGGCAACCUGCCGUUUAGGGAUGAGUCCGCGUUCCAUUAGCUUGUUGGUGAGGUAACGGCUCACCAAGGCUGCGAUGGAUAGCCGGCCUGAGAGGGUGAACGGCCACACUGGGACUGAGAUACGGCCCAGACUCCUACGGGAGGCAG